UACGUAGGGUGCGAGCGUUGUCCGGAAUUAUUGGGCGUAAAGAGCUCGUAGGCGGUUUGUUGCGUCUAUCGUGAAAACCUGCAGCUUAACUGUGGGCUUGCGGUGGAUACGGGCAGACUUGAGUUCGGUAGGGGAGACUGGAAUUCCUGGUGUAGCGGUGAAAUGCGCAGAUAUCAGGAGGAACACCGGUGGCGAAGGCGGGUCUCUGGGCCAUAAUUGACGCUGAGAAGCGAAAGCAUGGGGGAGCGAACAGG
rnacentral:rRNA from 1 species